rnacentral:tRNA from 1 species
UCUCUGGUGGCCUAGAGGUUAAAGCGUCUGCCUGAAACACAGGAGACCUGGGUUCAAUCCCUGGGUCGGGAA